AGCACGCCAGUCAUUUCUCUUCUGUGCUAACUGACGCCAAUCGAAAAAGCCAAGUGAGACCAUGUCCUUCUCCACCUAGUCUUUCCAACGCAGAGGAGGCCU